rnacentral:rRNA from 1 species
AUUGAACGCUGGCGGCAUGCCUUACACAUGCAAGUCGAACGGCAGCACGGGGCAACCUGGUGGCGAGUGGCGAACGGGUGAGUAAUGCAUCGGAACGUACCUUUCAGUGGGGGAUAACGUAGCGAAAGUUACGCUAAUACCGCAUAUUCUGUGAGCAGGAAAGCAGGGGAUCGCAAGACCUUGCGCUGAUUGAGCGGCCGAUGUCAGAUUAGCUAGUUGGGGAGGUAAAGGCUCACCAAGGCGACGAUCUGUAGCGGGUCUGAGAGGAUGAUCAGCCCGACUGGAACGGAGACACGGUCCAGACUCCUACGGGAGGCAGCAGUGGGGAAUUUUGGACAAUGGGGGCAACCCUGAUCCAGCCAUGCCGCGUGAGUGAAGAAGGCCUUCGGGUUGUAAAGCUCUUUCGGCCGGGAAGAAAUCGCACGGGCUAAUACCCUGUGUGGAUGACGGUACCGGAAUAAGAAGCACCGGCUAACUACGUGCCAGCCGCCGCCGUAACAC